AAGUCGUAACAAGGUUUCCGUAGGUGAACCUGCGGAAGGAUCAUUACAAAUAGUUGGGGGGGAGGAGGAGGAAGGAGAUGAUGGGGGAGAGCUUGGCUGUUGGUGGGAUAGAGUAGUUGGGGAGAGUUCUGCUCUCUCUCUCUACUCUGCCUCCUGACCGCGAGGUACCCCCCACCACCCUACCACCCUACCCGCCUACAUUAGCACGGGAUGCACGCUUUAGUGUGUGUAGUCCCGAUGUUUACGCUUGCUUGUUUGACAGAGUGACAUGGACCCAAUAAUCAAUAUACAACUUUUAACAAUGGAUCUCUUGGCUCUU
rnacentral:misc_RNA from 1 species